AGAGUUUGAUCAUGGCUCAGGAUGCACGCUGGCGGCGUGCCUAAUACAUGCUAAGUCGAACGCUUUGUGCUUAAUUGAUAUGAUGAGCUUGCUCUGAUUUGAUUUUUUGAUUUCAAAGAGUGGCGAACGGGUGAGUAACACGUGGGUAACCUACCUCUUAGCAGGGGAUAACAUUUGGAAACAAGUGCUAAUACCGUAUAAUACCAACAACCGCAUGGUUGUUGGUUGAAAGAUGGUUCUGCUAUCACUAAGAGAUGGACCCGCGGUGCAUUAGCUAGUUGGUAAGGUAAUGGCUUACCAAGGCAAUGAUGCAUAGCCGAGUUGAGAGACUGAUCGGCCACAAUGGGACUGAGACACGGCCCAUACUCCUACGGGAGGCAGCAGUAGGGAAUCUUCCACAAUGGGCGCAAGCCUGAUGGAGCAACGCCGCGUGUGUGAUGAAGGGUUUCGGCUCGUAAAACACUGUUAUAAGAGAAGAACGGCACUGAGAGUAACUGUUCAGUGUGUGACGGUAUCUUACCAGAAAGGAACGGCUAAAUACGUGCCAGCAGCCGCGGUAAUACGUAUGUUCCAAGCGUUAUCCGGAUUUAUUGGGCGUAAAGCGAGCGCAGACGGUUAUUUAAGUCUGAAGUGAAAGCCCUCAGCUCAACUGAGGAAUUGCUUUGGAAACUGGAUGACUUGAGUGCAGUAGAGGAAAGUGGAACUCCAUGUGUAGCGGUGAAAUGCGUAGAUAUAUGGAAGAACACCAGUGGCGAAGGCGGCUUUCUGGACUGUAACUGACGUUGAGGCUCGAAAGUGUGGGUAGCAAACAGGAUUAGAUACCCUGGUAGUCCGCACCGUAAACGAUGAGUGCUAGAUGUUCGAGGGUUUCCGCCCUUGAGUGUCGCAGCU
rnacentral:rRNA from 1 species